GUCAACGCCGCGUCCCUGAGGCGGGGUCCUGUCCCCGCCCCGCGGGGCGCGGGGAGUCCCUCCGCUGAGGCAGGGCUUCACUCCCCAAAUUUUCUACCUAACCCCCCCCCAGCAGCACAGGGGGAUGUGGAAUGGAGGUUCUGUUCAGAAGCCGCUGCUGCUAACAGAGAUGGCAUGGCCAGAGUACUAUACAGAUGAGGAGACACCUGGGACUUGCUGCACAAUGAAGAAUUGGUUUAUUGGAAAUCUCAACUGGCUACAAGUGUUGAAACAGCUCAGGUCAAGUGGUGAUAAAUAAUUUCAAGAAACCACUGUGAGACUGAACAGGUUCAUUUGACACCAGAGUCUGCAUUUUCUUCUGCCAGAGGAUGGAGGGACCGGGCUUCCAGUACCGUGGUGUGUGGCUGUAAAAGGCUGAAUUCCACCAGUUAAAUGGUCCCAUGGGAAGGCACUACUCUUCUGUUACCAGCCCUCCGGAGGUGAAGUUGUCUUUAGAGUUGAGCAAGAAAGUUGCUUUAGCACUGUCAGAUAUCUAAUUAAUGCCUCAGUAAAUAAAGGCAUUCUGUAAUUAAA